GGGUAACACAUCAGUGAUGGAUUUGAACAAAAUAUUCUAUAUUGUGACUGUGUACUUUGGUAGGUCUUGCAGUUUUUCCGGCAACUGUUAUGUUUUCCAGUGAAAUCAACAUCUCGUAUACGGUUUAUUAUUCAUUAUCGGUCGCUGUAGAAACAACAUCAAGCGAUUGAUGAAAAGGAAGAUUAUCAUUUGAUUCCCGGAUUCAAUUCGCUCGUAUCACAAGGAAAGUCGCAGGAAAAACUCCACCGGACAGAACCUUGAAUCAACUGAUGCUAUCAAGCAAUGCUAAGCAAUAUUCCACCAGGUAUAUUAUCAUUUGAUUUGAUGCGAAAAUAAAAUAGAGUUUAAUGAAA